GAGAGAGCUAAAAUUUAAUAUGCUUAUUAUUUUUCAUAGGAAAUUGUACAUAGCUAAUCACCUGCCCCUCUUAUGUGAAUAUAAUAUGUUUCAGCCAAUGUUAUAACAAGUUUGUAUGUGCCAACUUUCCAGGAUUUCUAUCUUUCGCUUCCUUGCUCGUCCCUUUGGUCAGCUGGUUUACUUCCUGUAUCAGUUUUCCUGCACCUUUUCCCAGUUUCAGUAGUGGCUAGUGUUGCAUUGUUUGAAUUUCAAAUUAAUGUCAGAAUAAGUCACAUUUGUGUUCAGGGAAGAGUUCCUCCUGUAUCUUCUGGCUAGUUAUCACCUGUGUCCUCUUCUAUUUUGUGGCCUCCCAGUACUUUCCAGGAUCUAGCUGCUCUUCUCCAAGUACAAGUCUUUUUACUAGCAGGCUUUUGCAAAUAUGAAUUAUAAAUUAUUUGUUUAGAGCCUAUGCUAAUACAAAAAAAAAAAAAAGGAUAAUGCUUUAAAUUAAACCACUUAUACUGUUGUCUUCACCCACUAAUCUGCAGCUGAAAAUUCUGAUGGCUUGGAAAGCACUGAUGGAAAAUCUUAAAGCUCUCUCUUCUCCAACUGGCUUUUCCAGUCAUGGAGGCUGUGGAAAGCGUGAAAUGACCUGAUCUUGAAUGAUAAACAAUGGGGAACGCCAGAUAUUAUCAAUAAUGCAAUCCAUUAGGAAGAUGGAUUUAUCAGUUGGUGUUCCCAUCCAAACCUCACCUCUAGUUCUGCUACAUCAAUCAUCAUCUAUCUACUGUCAAAAAAGAGAGAUGUUCUUACUUUGUUCUGAUUAAUAUAGAGGAUACAAUGCAAACUUGUUCUUGUCAGCCUGCUAUAUAUUUAAUUUAUAAACCAAUGUCUCAAUUUGUAGCACUAAAUAACAGAAUGAUUAGGUAAAAAAACUCAAGAAUCAAAUGUUACUUCUUUUUUUUCUGUUUUCUGGAAUACACCAUCCCUCGGAUCCCAUCCGGAUCAGCCACAAAACCCAAGGGUCUAUAAAAGCCAAGAACCCGGGGCUCUGAAUACAAAGCAAUGUUCACAAUCCCCUUCCUUAACAGCUCCUGUACAAGUCUCUCCAUCACAGCCUUCCCUAAUCCAAUCCCCUGGUACGAAGGAUCCACCACCACGUCCCAGAUGAUGGCAUUGAAAACAUUGUCCCCUGUAGCUCUAGCAAAUGCAACUGGCUUCUGUGUUUUCUUGUGCUCCACCCAGAGGAGCGAGUUCGUGUUCUCCAAUGCCAGUUUGAUCUUCUCCUAUUGCCAGUUUGAUACCCAUAUAGCAAUUUUUUGUUUUUGGUUGACGGGGGAAUUUUUUGAGGGUUCUCAUUUGAGGAAUUGUCAGGUUGAAUGGGGAUUGAGACAAGUAAGGCUAACAAGAAGGAAAAGAACUCUUAUGAAUUGGAGAAAGAAAAGAAUCCAAUUCUGGACCCGUAUCCAAAUCCAGAAACCAAUACGAAUACCAAAGGGAAGAAGAGCCGGCGACGGCACCACAAGAAGGCGGUGGUGGUAUCGCCGAUUGAAAAACUGUAUGACACCUGCGAGGAAGUAUUUUCCGUUGGUGGCCCUGGAAUUGUUCCCCCUCCUGAUAAAAUCGAAAAGCUGAGGGCGGUUUUGGAUGACAUCAAACCAGAGGAUUUUGGUCUGAGUCCGGAGAUGCCAUAUUUUCGUGCACUUGCUGCUGGGAGAACCCCUAAAAUAAAAUACCUUUGUAUCCAUAUAUCUGACAAUUUCUCGAUGGGUUUCUGCUUCCCGCCAUCAGGUGUGAUACCCCUUCAUAAUCAUCCUGGAAUGACUGUUUUUUGCAAGCUACUAUUUGGGAAGAUGCACAUUAAAUCGUAUGACUGGGUGGUUGAUGGCCCUUGCAAUGUGUCUGCUGUGGCGAAUCCUUCCGAUGGUGAAUGUCUCUCUCUCUCUCUCUUAAAUGUGAUUAUUCAUACCUUAUGUGUGAUAUUGGAACCUUAUAAAUAGAAGUUGCUAGAGCAGCUUUAAACCUUGGUGGAACGAUGCUAGGUUACUAUCCUGUUAGAGUGUUACCUUCAAAAACUGCCAUCCUUCUAGUGAAUCCUACAUUUCUGCCUAGGGUAUGAAUAACUCUGGCCCUUUUUGGUUGUGUUAGCUUAUGUUUUUUUGUACUGUCUUAGCAUGUACUUAAGGUUGCAUGACACAGAUGGCUUUGCCAUUUUGCUAUAAGGCUUACUGAUUGCAGCUUGUUUCUUCAGACUUAUUUAAUUUUCCAGUUAAUAAUUCCAUUAAAUCUGCAGGCUUCUCAGGCUGAAGUAAAAAAUUUCUUUGAAUCAACCUGUGGUGAGGUGAGGACAGAAAUAAAAGAUAUCCCCUUCCCUCCCCAAAAAGAGUUGGCUGUAAGGAGCAUUCCAAUGUUUGACUGCCCUUUUUUUUCUUCUAUAUUUUUUCAUUCAUAUCAUAGGUUAUCCGCUUGAGGCUUUUGGGG
rnacentral:misc_RNA from 1 species